GCCAUCAAAUAGGGGUGCCUUGUUCCAUGAACACGAAGUAAGGCUGAGAUUAUACCCAACAAGAGAAUUCUUGUGCACCUGAUCCAGAUAAUGCUGGCGGAGGGAAAAGGUUAGUUAAAUUG
rnacentral:ncRNA from 1 species